GCUUUAAAAGGCCACUGUCUGAAUAAAUCUUUAGUUCUGCUCCUGAAACUGGGUGUCGUCCAGUUAUUGGGAUUGCUGUUGGAUAGUGCUGUGUUAUUUUGCCUGCUGGAUACUUUACCCUAUGGAUUUAUAAUUGCUUGUUCCUGAACCUCCCUGGGAUCCAAAGUGGAGAUAGGCUGUGUAAUACCAGCUCUCCGCUACAAUAGCAACCUCUCAUCUGGGAAGUUUUCCAAAAGAUUUCAGCUGAGGUAUGGCACUGAUGUUAGACUACAAGGUCUGACAUGCAACUUGUAUUCUAGUUCAUCCUGUGUUCAGGGGGGCUGAGCUGAUUCCUCCAUGCCAAGCUCGUUAAACCAUGUCUUCAUAGGGUUUGCCUUGCACACAGGAGUACAAUAAUGCUGGCACAGGAAAAGUCCUUCCCCAAAAUGCUGCUACAUAUUGGACACACCCAAUUGUCUAAAAUGUCUUUGUUUCCUGUAGCAUUAAGAUGACCUGCCACUGGAAUUUAGGAGCCUAUCCCAAAUCCUGAAGAAAACCAUUAUCAGUCCUCACUAAAACUUUGCAGUAAGCACUAUGUAUUUUGGUAGACUGGUGUUGCUCCUAGAUGCUUCCACUUCACAAUAAUAGAUAGCACUCACAAUUGACCUAAGACAGUUGAUACUGACAGUGAAUUGUUAAAUGUCACUGUGCUCUUUCAGAUAACCAAUUUCACUGCCAGUAUUUUUCCAGGUAGAUUUCAUGGCUGUGUGAUGGAAAUUAUAUACAUAUUAGCAAUGAACUCAGUAAUUAAUAGAGUGGUACACAUACAUUUGGCCAUAGAGUGUAUAUAUAAUUGUGUUAAUUUUACCACAUAAUAAAAUGCAAAUGUAUUCAGGUAAGUUUUCUGUAUGACCAUUUGCACCUCUCGCUAGAAAAAUGUUUACAAAUAGAAAUUUUGGAAAUAGACUGCCAUUUGGGCCACAUACAGAGUUUGACUCAGAAAUUAUACACUAAUUGUACUCGUGUAGACAGUACUAAGGUAGACUGAUACAAGACUGUUGCUUACAGGAUAUCUGCUACUUACCGGAGAUUUUUAAGGACAUCUAAAUUUUGAAUCUUCCUUAUUAGGUUCUAAAAAUAAACAACAACAACGAGUAGAGAUAUGAUGAAAUUUAUUGAAUAGCUGUAGAAUAUUUUCUCCUGAAAGUAAAAGCUAUUUCCUGACAGAGGAAAAACAAAUCACAAUAUGACCAGUCGGUAAGUUACCUCCUGUAGAUACAAACUGUGUAUCUCCUGCACACAUUCUAGAUUACCCAAGCAUGUGAUCCCCUCUCUGUCCAGCCGAACAGUGCUCAAACUCAGAAGUGAUCUACGCCUAAAGGAAAUAAAAUGUAAGUAAAAUCACACACAGUAUUAGACAGACACUGUGUGUACCCAGUCAGACAUGUACAUAAUGUAGUGUCACUCACAAUUCGUCCCCUGUAUCGUGGUGUAAUGCUGGAUCCAGGUUCCUCUUUGCUAUGGUAGCCAAAGUGACAUUCUGUACAUCCUUUGCUUUUGAAAUGCCUGUAACAACAGAGCCAUAACCAAGGUCUCUAAGGAAAUUGCUCAGAUAUUUUUGCCUAAAAUGAAUAAUUCUUGGAUUAGUGAAUAAUCAAGAAUGUGUUUGUUCAAGGUAUGGUUGAUCAACUGGGCAUUAUUACAAGCUGACAAUGUGAUCAUGCAUUGUGAGGUUCUCAACGUACAG
rnacentral:lncRNA from 1 species